rnacentral:lncRNA from 13 species
AUGACUGCAGGAUGUCGCAGCAGUGAGAGAGGAAAUGGCCACUUCAGACAGAAUGGUCAGAUGUCAACAGUGCAUUUAAAGUUUCCUGCAGAGAGGAAAUAUGCAGAUCACAAUGAAGGGCAAUGCUCAGGAAGCUGUUUUCAAGGAGAUCCAGGGCUAGGAGAAAAAGUCUUCAAAAAAUGUCUACCUAAAACAAAGUUUUUUUCAAUUGGAGGCAUCUGUCUAAGCAAUAUAGCCCAACCGAUCAGCUGCAUUCCUGCGGAGCCGUAUCUUCCGCAUAUAUAA